UACGAGAGGCGCAAACGUUAUUCGGAUUUACUGGGCUUAAAGGGUGCGUAGGCGGCGCGGAAAGUAGGGUGUGAAAUCCCUCGGCUCAACCGAGGAACUGCGCUCUAAACUACCGUGCUCGAGGGAGAUAGAGGUAAGCGGAACUUAGGGUGGAGCGGUGAAAUGCGUUGAUAUCCUAAGGAACACCGGUGGCGAAAGCGGCUUACUGGAUCUCUUCUGACGCUGAGGCACGAAAGCUAGGGUAGCGAACGGG
rnacentral:rRNA from 1 species